AAAAUUUUAGUUUAAUAAAAAUUAUUUAUUUACAAUAAAUGGAUUAAUAUAAUCUAUUAAAAUUUUA
rnacentral:tRNA from 1 species